rnacentral:pre_miRNA from 1 species
UUUUUAGCAUAAGUAUGUCCCAUAUGAUAUUUGGCACAUAUUUAUGCUAAUA